GACGAACGCUGGCGGCGUGCUUAACACAUGCCAGUCGAACGGUGAAGCGCUUUCCUUUUUGGUUGGUGUGGAUGAGUGGCGAACGGGUGAGUAACACGUGAGUAACCUGCCCCCUUCUUCUGGAUAACCGCAUGAAAGUGUGGCUAAUACGGGAUAUUCUGCGCCUGCUGCAUGGUGGGUGUGGGAAAGAUUGUGCCUUUGGGUGUUUUCGGUGGGGGAUGGGCUCGCGGCCUAUCAGCUUGUUGGUGGGGUGAUGGCCUACCAAGGCGGUGACGGGUAGCCGGCCUGAGAGGGUGGACGGUCACACUGGGACUGAGACACGGCCCAGACUCCUACGGGAGGCAGCAGUGGGGAAUAUUGCACAAUGGGCGCAAGCCUGAUGCAGCGACGCCGCGUGAGGGAUGGAGGCCUUCGGGUUGUGAACCUCUUUCGCCAGUGAAGCAGGCCUGCUCCUUGUGGGUGGGUUGACGGUAGCUGGAUAAGAAGCGCCGGCUAACUACGU
rnacentral:rRNA from 1 species